rnacentral:misc_RNA from 1 species
GAUGAGAACGUAGCGAAAUGCGAUAAGUAAUGUGAAUUGCAGAAUUCAGUGAAUCAUCGAAUCUUUGAACGCACAUUGCGCCCCUUGGUAUUCCGAGGGGCAUGCCUGUUCGAGCGUCAUAUUAACCACUCCCGCUUGCGGGGUCUUGGGCUUCGCCUCCGGGCGGGCCUUAAAAUCAGUGGCGGUGCCGUCGGGCUCUACGCGUAGUAAAUUUUCUCGCGAUAGGGUCCCGGUGGAUGCUUGCCAACAACCCCCAACUUCUUAAGGUUGACCUCGGAUCAGGUAGGGAUACCCGCUGAACUUAAGCAUAUCAAUAAGCGGAGGA